UACAGAGGUCCCGAGCGUUGUUCGGAUUCACUGGGCUUAAAGGGUGCGUAGGCGGCGCGACAAGUUGGGUGUGAAAUCCCUCGGCUCAACCGAGGAACUGCGCCCAAAACUGUCGUGCUCGAGGGAGACAGAGGUGAGCGGAACUUAGGGUGGAGCGGUGAAAUGCGUUGAUAUCCUAAGGAACACCGGUGGCGAAAGCGGCUCACUGGGUCUCUUCUGACGCUGAGGCACGAAAGCUAGGGUAGCGAACGGG
rnacentral:rRNA from 1 species